GUUUCUUAUGUUGUGAUCAAAGCUGAUGUCCCAUGGAAUUCCGGUUUAGAAGACGGUGUCGAUCUUAUUUCAGGUGGGACAGACCUUCGACGUUCUGCCAGGAAGAGGAAGCGUUUACAGUCAGUUAAGGAGUCAUUCACUAGGAAGCGUUUACAGUCAGUUAGGAAGCGUGAACCUUUUUAAUAAAUUCUUGGCUUGUUUUGACCCCUUAAUUAGUGAUGGUGUAUGACAUUGUUUUCCAUUUUUUAGUUUCUUUCAUAUGGUGGUGUUGUACUGAUGUUCUUCUUUUCUUUCUCUUUCCGCAAUUGUUGUUGUUGAUAUUGAAGUAGAGAUUGUAGCAGUGUGUAAUGUAGCAGUGUGUAAUGUCUUGAUCUUGAAUGUGCGAGUGCA